rnacentral:rRNA from 1 species
CGGGUGAAAAACCCGUUCGCCGAAAGACCAAGGGUUCCAGUCCAACGUUAAUCGGGGCUGGGUGAGUCGACCCCUAAGGCGAGGCCGAAAGGCGUAGUCGAUGGGAAAAUGGUUAAUAUUCCAUUACUUCUGUGUAAUGCGAUGAGAGGACGGAGAAGGCUAAAUCAGCCUGGCGUUGGUUGUCCAGGUGAAAGGAUGUAGGCAUGUAUCUUAGGCAAAUCCGGGGUACUCUAUGCUGAGAUCUGAUAGCAAGCUGUACUUGUACAGCGAAGUGGUUGAUGCCAUGCUUCCAGGAAAAGUCUCUAAGCUUCAGUUACACAGGAAUCGUACCCGAAACCGACACAGGUGGUCAGGUCGAGUAGACCAAGGCGCUUGAGAGAACUCUGCUGAAGGAACUAGGCAAAAUGGUACCGUAACUUCGGGAGAAGGUACGCUGUUGUUGGUGAUGGAACUCGCUUCCUGAGCUGACGACAGCCGCAGAAACCAGGCCGCUGCAACUGUUUAUUAAAAACAUAGCACUCUGCAAACACGAAAGUGGACGUAUAGGGUGUGAUGCCUGCCCGGUGCUGGAAGGUUAAUUGAUGGGGUUAGCGUAAGCGAAGCUCUUGAUCGAAGCCCCAGUAAACGGCGGCCGUAACUAUAACGGUCCUAAGGUAGCGAAAUUCCUUGUCGGGUAAGUUCCGACCUGCACGAAUGGCAUAAUGAUGGCGGCGCUGUCUCCAGCAGAGGCUCAGUGAAAUCGAAAUCGCUGUGAAGAUGCAGUGUACCCGCGGCUAGACGGAAAGACCCCGUGAACCUUUACUGCAGCUUGACACUGAACUUUGACCUUACUUGUGUAGGAUAGGUGGGAGGCUUUGAAGCUGGAACGCUAGUUCCAGUGGAGCCGUCCUUGAAAUACCACCCUGGUAAUGUUGAGGUUCUAACUCUGUCCCGUGAUCCGGGACGAGGACCGUGUCUGGUGGGUAGUUUGACUGGGGCGGUCUCCUCCUAAAGAGUAACGGAGGAGUACGAAGGUGCGCUCAGCGUGGUCGGAAAUCACGCGUAGAGUAUAAAGGCAAAAGCGCGCUUAACUGCGAGACCCACAAGUCGAGCAGGUACGAAAGUAGGUCUUAGUGAUCCGGUGGUUCUGUAUGGAAGGGCCAUCGCUCAACGGAUAAAAGGUACUCUGGGGAUAACAGGCUGAUACCGCCCAAGAGUUCAUAUCGACGGCGGUGUUUGGCACCUCGAUGUCGGCUCAUCUCAUCCUGGGGCUGAAGCAGGUCCCAAGGGUAUGGCUGUUCGCCAUUUAAAGAGGUACGCGAGCUGGGUUUAGAACGUCGUGAGACAGUUCGGUCCCUAUCUACCGUGGGCGCUGGAAAUUUGAGAGGAUCUGCUCCUAGUACGAGAGGACCAGAGUGGACGAACCUCUGGUGUACCGGUUGUGACGCCAGUCGCAUCGCCGGGUAGCUAUGUUCGGAAGGGAUAACCGCUGAAAGCAUCUAAGCGGGAAGCCUACCUCAAGAUAAGAUUUCCCUAGGACUUUAUGUCCUCUAAAGAGCCGUUCGAGACUAGGACGUUGAUAGGUUGGAUGUGGAAGUAUAGUGAUAUGUGAAGCUGACCAAUACUAAUUGCUCGUGAGGCUUGACUA